rnacentral:misc_RNA from 1 species
GGGCAGACUAAAAAAUUGGACAAAGAAAUAGAGGGGAAAAAGAUUCUUUCUUUUUGCUAGAUGACAUAUAGCUUAGGCAUACAUGGUGAAUUUGCUAACAAGCCAAAAUGUAACCCAGCUUUGUAAAUAUAGGCCAACUUGAAAGCUACAACAAACUAGGCAAUUCAUUAGGAAAUUUAGACUGGUCAAUCAUCCUCAUCUGAACUACUGUCUUCAAACGUCCUCCCAUUGUCCUCUGCCGUUGUCAUCGUCAUAUUAUCUGGCAUCUUAUCCCAGUCUUUUAACUUGGAAUUGGUCAGCAUAUAAUUAUCACGUAAUGGAGCCCAAGCAGGACCUUCAGCAUCCGCUGCACCACCUGAUGUGUUUAACUUUGCAUUACUGUUUGUUGCUGGCAAAGUUGUCUUGCCCAACUCAGAAAAGAAAGCUUCUUUUCUACGCUUAUUUAUAGCUUUAGCAUCUUUAGUUCUCGAAGGAUUCAAAC